rnacentral:rRNA from 1 species
UCGAACGGUAACAGGAGCAGCUUGCUGCUUCGCUGACGAGUGGCGGACGGGUGAGUAAUGUCUGGGAAACUGCCCGAUGGAGGGGGAUAACUACUGGAAACGGUAGCUAAUACCGCAUAAUGUCGCAAGACCAAAGAGGGGGACCUUCGGGCCUCUUGCCAUCGGAUGUGCCCAGAUGGGAUUAGCUUGUUGGUGAGGUAACGGCUCACCAAGGCGACCAUCCCUAGCUGGUCUGAGAGGAUGACCAGCCACACUGGAACUGAAACACGGUCCAGACUCCUACCGGAGGCAGCAGUGGGGAAUAUUGCACAAUGGGCGCAAGCCUGAUGCAGCCAUGCCGCGUGUAUGAAGAAAGCCUUCCGGUUGUAAAGUACUUUCAGCGGGGAGGAAGGGGUUAAGGUUAAUAACCUUAGCCAUUGACGUUACCCGCAGAAGAAGCACCGGCUAACUCCGUGCCAGCAGCCGCGGUAAUACCGAAGGUGCAAGCGUUAAUCGGAAUUACUGGGCGUAAAGCGCACGCAGGCGGUCUGUCAAGUCGGAUGUGAAAUCCCCGGGCUCAACCUGGGAACUGCAUUCCAAACUGGCAGGCUUGAGUCUCGUAGAGGGGGGUAGAAUUCCAGGUGUAGCGGUGAAAUGCGUAGAGAUCUGGAGGAAUACCGGUGGCG